AAGGAAACAUCAGAAAGUUUUGAGUGAUUUUUUUUUUUUUUUUUUGCAAUCCAAGCGGAAGCUGACUUGCUAACACUUAGAAAUACAACGUCAAGAAUGCUGAGAAGUUUUAAAUUCCAGUCACUUUUUACUCUUUAAAGUUGAUGCAUCACCAAAGAUGCCUGGGAAUCUGCAUCUCCCCCAAGUUGGUUCAGACCAACCACAUUCAGAUAAGUCUGAUGAGGUGGUCUGAUUUCCCUGGGAUCUUCAAAAGUCAGUUCAAGCCAGGAAUACACUUCUGCAAGUUGCUCUGUGUCAGUGUCUGUGCACGGUCGAUGUCCCCACGCAGUCCCAGCCUACAGGAGGUAAGACUCCACUGAAAAGUGACUUGGGUUCCAAGUCUUCCCACUGGCUUUGCCAAAACCUUAUCAGAAAUGUGCUGCCUCCUGAUACUCUUCUACUCCACACCUUUUCCAUUCUCCUUUUCCAUGGAGUCUCAAGUAUCUUUGUGUUUUCUCCUGCUCUCCAGGGUCAGUCACCUUCUAUUACUAUAACACAUUUCUGAGAUAAAUUGACUUAUAAAGAGAAAAUUCAUCCUGGUCCACAAUUUUGGAGAUUCACAACUGGCCAG
rnacentral:lncRNA from 1 species